UACGUAGGGGGCAAGCGUUGUCCGGAUUUAUUGGGCGUAAAGAGCGUGUAGGCGGCCAGUCAAGUCUGCUGUGAAAACUCGAGGCUCAACCUCGAGCUGUCGGUGGAAACUGUCUGGCUAGAGUCCGGAAGAGGAGAGUGGAAUUCCUGGUGUAGCGGUGAAAUGCGCAGAUAUCAGGAAGAACACCUAUGGCGAAGGCAGCUCUCUGGGACGGUACUGACGCUGAGGCGCGAAAGCGUGGGGAGCGAACAGG
rnacentral:rRNA from 1 species